GACGAACGCUGGCGGCGUGCCUAAUACAUGCAAGUAGAACGCUGAAGGAGGAGCUUGCUCUUCUGGAUGAGUUGCGAACGGGUGAGUAACGCGUAGGUAACCUGCCUGGUAGCGGGGGAUAACUAUUGGAAACGAUAGCUAAUACCGCAUAAGAGUAGAUGUUGCAUGACAUUUGCUUAAAAGGUGCAAUUGCAUCACUACCAGAUGGACCUGCGUUGUAUUAGCUAGUUGGUGGGGUAACGGCUCACCAAGGCGACGAUACAUAGCCGACCUGAGAGGGUGAUCGGCCACACUGGGACUGAGACACGGCCCAGACGCCUACGGGAGGCAGCAGUAGGGGAUCUUCGGCAAUGGACGGAAGUCUGACCGAGCAACGCCGCGUGAGUGAAGAAGGUUUUCGGAUCGUAAAGCUCUGUUGUAAGAGAAGAACGAGGGUGAGAGUGGAAAGUUCACAGUGUGACGGUACCUUAUCAGAAAGAGACGGCUAACUACGUG
rnacentral:rRNA from 1 species